rnacentral:lncRNA from 1 species
AAAACAAUGUACAGUAAAACAGAAGCACCUGGAGAACAGAAUGAAGCCAAACUACUGUGAACGGAUAACAGGAUCCAUGCACAGGCAUAAAGGACUUGAGGAACCAGAAAUUGCUCUGUAGAUUGAAAAAACUGUUACAGAUGAGAGCUUAUUCUACAAAAGCAGGGUUUCUAAUGCCCUAGAAGGAACGUAUUCAAAUUGGGUUGGCUAAACAACACAGACCUCUCAGGGAGUUAGGAGAGCUGCUAUCAGAAAAAGUCUAGAUGCAGCUGAUGAUGAUUAAAGGCUGAUGAACUUCAAAGUAGCAGGAGGCCAUCAGGUGCUCUGAGCUAUAUAGCAUGAAAAGUUUAGGAAGUGUUAGUGGCUAUCCUCACUUGAAGCACUGAUUAGAUGGCAAAGUUGUGGUCAAUGCUAUUUGUUGUUUAUACUGGGAAAGUGUUCUGAUCAAACAGUGCUUGUGACAAUUCCUUCUGCCCUCACAUGCAAUACCUUCUACAGGGACUGGGACAGAUACAGGCAGCGGAGCAGGAGAAUAUGAAGUGCAGAAGAUGCCAAAAUCCACAAAAAAAGUGUGAUAAUCCUCAACGAAAGUUGACUCAUCAGCAUACCACCAGGUUACUAAAUGGCAUACUGUUGAGUUCACCUCUAACACAACAUCUUGGAAGUGUAUAGGCUGAUUUCUACUGUUUUUCCUUCAAGGAUGGAGCCAAAGGCUUACUCAGACUCUAGGCUAAUUGGUCUAUGAAGCAGCAAGUACACAAUACAUUUAAAAUGUUGAAUACAUUAAUCUCUUGAUCUGCUCCUGGAUGGCAGCCCUCUGACCAUCUGCCCUCUGUGCCUCUUUGUCUGGGCACCAAGGAUGGGAUCCUGCUGUAGGUGAUGCUGGAGAUGUACACAAGUCUACCUAGGAAAGCUGAAAACUGUCCCACCAGAAAUGCCAGCCAGCUCUAGUUCUUUCUAUGGCACAGAAAAAUAGAUAACAGCUUUGGGCAUCGAUUUUGCUGAGCUCAGAGUGAUUUUGGCUUCUGCAUCUGGCACAUAAGCAAUCAGAAAAGCUGUGAACAUACUCCCUUAUAUGCUAUCCCUGUGGAAGGCUGCAAUGUGCUGGCUUAUUUUGUUCCUUGUGUUUUUCCAUGAGCCUUUCAGUACCAGAAUGCAGCACUGAAGCUUCAGCAGAUCCAUAGUUUGGUCUGCUUGUAAACUGUUCUGAGAGCAUAAGGUCAUCUUCAUGCAAACUAGCUUUCUCAUCCUUAAAGUCUUAAAGGACUUUGCUACUUGUUCCCAGUUCCCUUACCUUGGAUUCUGACUUUCCCUGCUGGUUUAUGCAGUUCUGAAUAGUUCCUAUUGACCAAGGGCCAGAUCUUGCAUGCAAUGUUAUUUUGCUGUGCUCAGAAGACAAGAGUGGAAGGUGAUGACAUCAGCAAAUAACUGGAAGAAGCAGGAGAGGAAAAUACAAGCUUAGUUUUUUGUAACAUCUCGGAUUGGACUUUGGCAUAGGAAGACAAAAUGCACAGAGGGCUUUGUCUCUCCUAUCCAGGCCUCCUGACUGCUACUUCUUUCAUGAAACAGACUUAACCCCUUCCUGUCUAUUGCCUUUCUUGUUUGGGGAGGCCACUCACCUGCAUAACAGUGGAUCAGCCUUCAAAAGCUGAACCAUCAUGUGUACAAUUGCAGCACUAUACAGCUACCAUGGAAGAGUAUUUUGUGUUUCUUCCAGGAUUCAUCUACAAUGUGCUUCUUGGUAAUUCUCAUCUGUAUUAUGUUUUCUGUUUCAUUUUCCAGGCUGCUUUUGUUUUCAAGAAAAUAUAAACACGUUGUGCCAUCACAUCUCCUUUCUCAGCAGUAGUGGUGGGAUUCCACCGUGGGCAUCUGCCAUGUCUCUUCUGUACUCCUCACUGCUCUCCUCUGACCUUGGAGAAAAUAAGCCCUCCUGGUAUUCUUUGCCAAUGGAAAAAAUCGUUCCAGUUUUAAUUUGCCUUUUAGGUUGUUCUGUUCUCCAUCCCAGUGCUGGCUUUACAGAGCACAAAUAGUUAGAAUGUGCCAUCUAUGGGUCUGAGAAAGGCUUGCAAGCUUUAAUGAUUGAUAAUAUAAGAUAGUUCUGCUAUUUAAAGAGGGAGUCAAGCUAUAUAUUUCAUUAAAGGAGUAAUAGUAACUAUUUGAAGGCAACUCCCAGCCCUCAUCUCAAAGCACUAUAUCAAAAUGCAUCACCACAUGACUGCUUCCUGAUAAGAAGCAGGUAUUCAUUGUGUUGUAUUCAGUAGUGCUUUACAGGAGGAAAAAAAAAGGUUGAACUGGAGGAAAUAAGGAAAUAAAACUCACCUGAAGCUUUUCUUUUUUUUUUUU